rnacentral:misc_RNA from 1 species
AAGUCGUAACAAGGUUUCCGUAGGUGAACCUGCGGAAGGAUCAUUACCGAGUAAGGGUCUUCGGGCCCGACCUCCAACCCUUUGUUUAUCAAACCAUGUUGCUUUGGCGGGCCCGCCUCUUCGGGGCCGCUGGGGGCCUCACCGCCUCUGGCCAGCGCCCGCCAGUGGCCUUUUUUAAAAUUCUCCUAACCUAUUGUCUGAGUCUAAACAAAAAUCGUUAAAACUUUCAACAACGGAUCUCUUGGUUCUG